rnacentral:snRNA from 1 species
ACUCAUACCUGACAGGGGAGAUACCAUGAUCAUAAAAGUGGUUUUCCUAGGGUAAGGCUCAUCCAUUGCACUUUGGAUGUGUUGAUCCCUGUGAUUUCCCCAAAUGUGGGAAAAGCAACUGCCUAAUUCAUGGUAGUGGGGGACUGCCUUUGUCAUUUCCCCU